rnacentral:rRNA from 1 species
AACGAACGCUGGCGGCAGGCUUAACACAUGCAAGUCGAACGCCCCGCAAGGGGAGUGGCAGACGGGUGAGUAACGCGUGGGAACAUACCCUUUCCUGCGGAAUAGCUCCGGGAAACUGGAAUUAAUACCGCAUACGCCCUACGGGGGAAAGAUUUAUCGGGGAAGGAUUGGCCCGCGUUGGAUUAGCUAGUUGGUGGGGUAAAGGCCUACCAAGGCGACGAUCCAUAGCUGGUCUGAGAGGAUGAUCAGCCACAUUGGGACUGAGACACGGCCCAAACUCCUACGGGAGGAAGCAGUGGGGAAUAUUGGACAAUGGGCGCAAGCCUGAGCCAGCCAUGCCGCGUGAGUGAUGAAGGCCUUAGGGUUGUAAAGCUUUUUCACCGAUGAAGAUAAUGACGGUAGUCGGAGAAGAAGCCCCGGCUAACUUCGUG